AUAUUUAUUCUAUUCAAUAGCUUUUCGAAAUACCUUAGCCAGGUUUUCUAAAUAAAAUAACAACUAAACUACUAUUUCAAGAAAUAAAAAUUAUUAUUAUAACUUUAAAUUACUACAAAGAAUGAAAGUACAAUAUGUUUAACGGUUUUCUGUGAUUUUCGUGCGUGAAGUAUUUACCUAUUAAGUUUCUGUAAAGAUCAGUUCAAAUUCGUUUUGCUAUUCGGAAAAUCCCCUUUUUAUAAUACUUAGCACGCCUUAUCCUUGCGUGUAAGAAAAUAGGUCGCUACCGGUCAAGGUUAACUGUGUGUAUUAAAACUAGCGAGAACGUAAACAUUGGAUUAUAUUGAAGGAAUGGACAAUUUCAUCCGACUUUGCACCGAUUUGGGAAUAUAAAGCAGGUGAAUUAUGCUUCGAAAAAUAUGCAGACAAAAACAACGUGUAUGUUAAUAUAUACCACUUUUGAUGACCAUAGCAGAAAAUAUCUGAAUGCAGUUAAAACUGGUAUGAGGCAAGCCCAAUAAGGAACAUUUGCUUAAAAGCUGCUGAAUAACGUCAAAGACAAGCAAAUGAAGAAUAACAACAAGACACAGCAAUUAUCAAAGUCAAUUCAGUACUUUGUUCAAUCGUCAGAAAGUUUAUAAACACUUUGUGAAAAGGACUGGAAUGUCAUUUCAAUGACAGUUUUAGAAACGAUCAGAGUUUUAUUAUAUAUUAUUACAAAUACAACCUGCCCGGAACAAUUUACGGAUAUAACAAUAGUUGUAUGCAUUUUAUUUCUUUUUACACUGUUCUUCAAUUGUAUUUGGUUGAUCCAUUUUUAAAUUACUGAACUAUAAGUUUAAUAACAAAAACAGUUAUGUACUUCACACAAUACGUAACCCUACUGGUCGAGGACCAGUAACCGUCACUUUUUGUCAAUAUAUUUCAUCUAUCUUCUUAACGUGAGAAAAUUAAUAGUUAUCCAUUGAUAAGGAAAGUGGUUAUCAAAAAUACUGUAAUACUUCAAUUGGUUAGUGUUUAAUAUUUGACAAAAUUUUCAUGAAAUUAACUUUUUACGGCGUCGGAUUUUUGAAGAUUUUUGAAGACGUCAAGGACCAGUAUACAAUUCUAUAUUAAUUGUAGUUAGAUGGCUUUAAGGUAGGUCUCAAACUAUUCUUACAAAAUGUGGAGUAUUGUUUUUUUUAUAAAAAGUUAUAAGUCAAUUUGGAGAUAAAUGAAUAUUUUUUUAUCGUUG